UCCUUCUUCCUCUCUCUUUUUUCUUAUUUACUUUUCUUAAAGCGUGCGUAGGCGGUGUCUUAAGUUUGUUGUGAAAUCUCCCGGCUUAACCGGGAGGGUGCGGCGAAUACUGAGAUGCUGGAGUGCGGGAGAGGUAAGCGGAAUUCCUGGUGUAGCGGUGAAAUGCGUAGAUAUCAGGAGGAACACCUGCGGUGUAGACGGCUUACUGGACCGUAACUGACGCUGAGGCACGAAAGCGUGGGUAGCAAACAGG
rnacentral:rRNA from 1 species